ensembl:rRNA 5S_rRNA 5S ribosomal RNA
CUCUACAUGCAUACCAUCCUGAACAUGCCUGAUCUCGCCAAAUCUCAGAAACUAAGCAGGAUUGGGCCUGAUUACUAUUUGGAUGGGAGAAAAGCCAACCACUUGCUCCUAUCUGGAUUUUGGCUCUGGAAGUGU